AAAUUGACAAAAACCUGUAUGUUUUCGAGAAGUUUAUUUUGCACUAAUCGUUGUGGUGCAGUCACUUUAAUUUUUUUGGCCUUUUUGUGCCCGAUUUUUUUUUUUUUAAUCAUUUUUAAACAUUUUUUAGUCAAAAUGAUCGACAUAAUUAAUUAGAAUUAAUUGAUCAUUUAGUUUGAAUUUAUGUUGUGUAUUUUAAUUUAAU
rnacentral:lncRNA from 1 species